rnacentral:rRNA from 1 species
UAACACAUGCAAGUCGAGCGGUAACAUUUCGAAAGCUUGCUUUUGAAGAUGACGAGCGGCGGACGGGUGAGUAAUGCCUGGGAAUAUGCCUUGAUGUGGGGGAUAACCAUUGGAAACGAUGGCUAAUACCGCAUAAUGCCUACGGGCCAAAGAGGGGGAUCUUCGGACCUCUCGCGUCAAGAUUAGCCCAGGUGGGAUUAGCUAGUUGGUGAGGUAAUGGCUCACCAAGGCGACGAUCCCUAGCUGGUCUGAGAGGAUGAUCAGCCACACUGGAACUGAGACACGGUCCAGACUCCUACGGGAGGCAGCAGUGGGGAAUAUUGCACAAUGGGCGCAAGCCUGAUGCAGCCAUGCCGCGUGUGUGAAGAAGGCCUUCGGGUUGUAAAGCACUUUCAGUCGUGAGGAAGGUAGUUGCGUUAAUAGCGUAAUUAUUUGACGUUAGCGACAGAAGAAGCACCGGCUAACUCCGUGCCAGCAGCCGCGGUAAUACGGAGGGUGCGAGCGUUAAUCGGAAUUACUGGGCGUAAAGCGCAUGCAGGUGGUUUGUUAAGUCAGAUGUGAAAGCCCGGGGCUCAACCUCGGAAUUGCAUUUGAAACUGGCAGACUAGAGUACUGUAGAGGGGGGUAGAAUUUCAGGUGUAGCGGUGAAAUGCGUAGAGAUCUGAAGGAAUACCGGUGGCGAAGGCGGCCCCCUGGACAGAUACUGACACUCAGAUGCGAAAGCGUGGGGAGCAAACAGGAUUAGAUACCCUGGUAGUCCACGCCGUAAACGAUGUCUACUUGGAGGUUGUGGCCUUGAGCCGUGGCUUUCGGAGCUAACGCGUUAAGUAGACCGCCUGGGGAGUACGGUCGCAAGAUUAAAACUCAAAUGAAUUGACGGGGGCCCGCACAAGCGGUGGAGCAUGUGGUUUAAUUCGAUGCAACGCGAAGAACCUUACCUACUCUUGACAUCCAGAGAAGCCAGCGGAGACGCAGGUGUGCCUUCGGGAACUCUGAGACAGGUGCUGCAUGGCUGUCGUCAGCUCGUGUUGUGAAAUGUUGGGUUAAGUCCCGCAACGAGCGCAACCCUUAUCCUUGUUUGCCAGCGAGUAAUGUCGGGAACUCCAGGGAGACUGCCGGUGAUAAACCGGAGGAAGGUGGGGACGACGUCAAGUCAUCAUGGCCCUUACGAGUAGGGCUACACACGUGCUACAAUGGCGCAUACAGAGGGCUGCCAACCAGCGAUGGUGAGCGAAUCCCAAAAAGUGCGUCGUAGUCCGGAUUGGAGUCUGCAACUCGACUCCAUGAAGUCGGAAUCGCUAGUAAUCGUGGAUCAGAAUGCCACGGUGAAUACGUUCCCGGGCCUUGUACACACCGCCCGUCACACCAUGGGAGUGGGCUGCAAAAGAAGUGGGUAGUUUAACCUUUCGAGGAGGACGCUCACCACUU